ACCCGCACAAGCGGUGGAGGAUGUGGUUUAAUUCGACGCAACGCGAAGAACCUUACCUAGGCUUGACAUGCUGGUGAAAACCAUGGAAACAUGGUCUCCCGUAAGGGACAUCAGUACAGGUGGUGCAUGGCUGUCGUCAGCUCGUGUCGUGAGAUGUUGGGUUAAGUCCCGCAACGAGCGCAACCCUUGUCAUUAGUUGCUACAUUCAGUUGGGCACUCUAAUGAGACUGCCGGUGACAAGCCGGAGGAAGGUGGGGAUGACGUCAAGUCCUCAUGGCCCUUAUAGGUGGGGCUACACACGUCAUACAAUGGCUGGUACAAAGGGUUGCCAACCCGCGAGGGGGAGCCAAUCCCAUAAAGCCAGUCGUAGUCCGGAUCGUAGUCUGCAACUCGACUACGUGAAGUCGGAAUCGCUAGUAAUCGUGGAUCAGAAUGUCACGGUGAAUACGUUCCCGGGUCUU
rnacentral:rRNA from 1 species